AUUGAACGCUGGCGGCAUGCUUUACACAUGCAAGUCGAACGGUAACAGGCCUUCGGGUGCUGACGAGUGGCGAACGGGUGAGUAAUGCAUCGGAACGUACCCAGAGGUGGGGGAUAACGCAGCGAAAGCUGUGCUAAUACCGCAUGUGAUCUGAGGAUGAAAGCGGGGGACCGAGCAGCAAUGUUUGGCCUCGCGCCUUUGGAGCGGCCGAUGUCGGAUUAGCUAGUUGGUGGGGUAAAGGCCUACCAAGGCGACGAACCGUAGCUGGUCUGAGAGGACGACCAGCCACACUGGGACUGAGACACGGCCCAGACUCCUACGGGAGGCAGCAGUGGGGAAUUUUGGACAAUGGGCGCAAGCCUGAUCCAGCAAUGCCGCGUGCGGGAAGAAGGCCUUCGGGUUGUAAACCGCUUUUGGCAGGAACGAAACGGUGUCCGCUAAUACCGGGCGCUAAUGACGGUACCUGCAGAAUAAGCACCGGCUAACUACGUG
rnacentral:rRNA from 1 species